rnacentral:lncRNA from 1 species
CUAUUUUUAUAUAUGAUACUACUAAUCAGAUGGUAUCAUUCUAAUUCUUUUGAAUAUUUGAUGAACUUUCAGUUUGGUAGGAUGGUCCUUCACAGAGUCCUGCAGUCGGCACCUUGCUGAAGUCUUCAGGAAAAACCAAAGAUUGAAAAAGUUAACGAUAUAUCUCAAUGAGACAAAUAACAGGGCAGUGGAAUUACUGUGUGAGGGGCUUCAACAUCCAGACUGUGCAGUAGAAAGAGUUUGGCUUAAUGGAGAGAUCCUGACAGAAUCCAACAGUAAGCAUAUUGGAGAAGUACUCAGGAAAAACCAGAGACUGAGAUUGUUACACUUGUCACUCAGGAACCCAGGUGACAAAAUAAUGGAAUUGCUGUGUGAUGUGUUCAAACAUCCAGAAUAUAUAAUAGAUUCACUAUGGUAAAUUUUUCCCCUUUCAUUUUGAUCUGCACAACCAUAUUUUGACAGUUAAUAUUCUGGNNNNNNNNNNAGUUCAGUUGCCAUACAUAAUUACAUUCCAUUCAGUUCCUACAAAAAAUACAGUCAAUGCUUGUUUUUUAGGAGGAAAUUCUAAUUUUUCAGAUUCCUCUUUGCAGGCUUGAUGUAGGCAUCCUGGCUGAAUUAUUCAGCAGCCAUCUUGCAGAGGUACUAAGGAAAAACCAGAGACUGAGAGAGUUAGACUUGUCACUCUGGAACGCAGAUGAGAAAACAAUGGAAUUGCUGUGUGAUGGGCUCAAACAUUCAAAGUGUACAAUCGAUGUUUUUCAGUUUGAUAGUGAGAUCCUGAGCGAAUCUGUCACAAGGCAAUUUGCACAAGUACUCAGGACAACCCAGAGAUUGAUAGCAUUAUAUUUGUCCCUCAAAAACCCUGAUGACAGCGCAAUGGAAUUGCUGUGGAAUGGGCUUUCUUGACUACAGAAGCACA